CCAGCCGCAGCAGCCAGCAGCGUGGUUUCCAUGCCCACCCGCAGGGGCACCAGCGCCCCCUCGCUUGCUCGCUGACCUGGCUUAUGGAAGGAAGGAAGGCGGCUGGGACCCGGGACAGCUGGCCUCCUCCGCCCCCAGCCCUCCUCUGCAGCUGAGGGCUGCAGACCCAGCAGGCGUGCGCUGGCAUGCACCCUCCCGGCUCUAUGUAGUCUGCCCCAGCCUGGAAGCUGAACCCCGGGAGACAGCAAAAGGCACCGGGAGAGGAACUGGAGAAGGCCAAAAAAAAAAAAAAAAAGAGUGCAGGAUCACAGUCAAGGCUGCGGAGCCAGGAAAGACAGCGAUGCAGACUCCGGACCAGGACCUGCUGCACUGAGAAGCCUGUGGAUGGCAGGAGGCCAGGGAAGAAUACAAGCAGGUCCGGGAGGGAGGACGGCCGCGCUCCAGAAAUGAUUAGCGGGAACUUGGGUCAGCAACUGGUCCCAGCACGGUGAACUUGACCAUUCGAGGGGGCUCCCAAGGGUGGUGAAGGUAGGGGGUGUGGCCGAAAGGACACAAAGGCUAAAGACAGCUGGCGGGGGCGGGGGCUAAGGGUGGUGGUGACAAGGACCGAAGGACACCUUUCUGAGAACCAACUAGGGACUCUAAAGACAAUUGAACUGGGGGUAAUUUUGUAUGAGAAAGCUGGAACAGCAAAGAAAGGAAAAUCAGGAUUGAAGAGCAGAGAGAGAGAGAGAAGAGUUAGAAGCCAAAGAAAGCAAACUGCACCCGGAACUAAAGAAAAAGGAAAUCAAUAAAGGAAAAUUUCAAAACACAUGGCAGAGCGAACUUGUUCCUGAAACUACCAACAGAGGGAGGAAAAACUGGGUGGGGGCGCCGAGCAUACUGGAGGAACCAAAAGAGAAGGAAGGAAAGGAGAGAAGACUGGAUGCAAAUUAAACCAGACACGACAUAGACACAGAUAAAUCUGGCAUCACAACAGCUGCCCAUUCUUCUCACUAUGCGGAGUACUGGUAAAGGCAGAGACUGGAGGGGGACGGUCUUCGUUACAAAGGAAUUUGAAUGAGACAGGGAAUCCGUUCUUCAGAAACCUUCCCUUCUGCUCGGACAAUAUCAGGAUAUCUGUUCCAAGGCAAUCUCUUUAUCAUGGAUGCAUCAGAAUUGCUAACAGGUGUCUGAGCUCUGUGCUUCCUCAUCCAUGACAUGAGUUUUGAGCAAGACAAACCACGGCAGCUACUCUCAGCACUCAGGAGAUGAAGGUAGGAAGAUUCCAGUUGGAAACCAACCCAGACUCUAAUACAAGAGUCUCAGGCCACCUGGAGCUACACAGCAAGACCUUUCUGGAAGACCAUAUCAUUUCUUUCAGAUAGCCUAGCCUUCCACCCCAGCCUUCCAAGUGUCUGAAUCACAGGCAUCUACCAGCUCACAUUUAAAAAAAAACAAGAGAAAACAAACCUCACAGAACCUUCUGAAGCACAGAUAAAGUUUGCUUUCUGCCGGAUGUCAUACAAGAUCCUAACUCAGAUCUUUUCUGUAUUCUGGCAGAUUAUUAUAUCACUUUCAAAAUUUGAAACGCUUGCAAGAUAGUUUUCAAUUUCAGUGCCAUUUGCAAGGGUUCUUCCUGCUGGAAAUGUGCAGAUGCCCUUCCUCCAGGCAUGGUCAUCUUUCCCCAGCACCUGUUUUCCUUGCCUAUGUUGAUAAACUCACCCUCACUGGGUUCCUUGGGCUUCACGGUCAGGAUCUCCUAAAGCCUGCUGGUGUCUAUACUCCUGUAGACACCUUUCCUUUCUAACUUCAUAUAGAUUGUUUGAAUUUCAUCUCCAAUGUUUUCCCAUUUCAUUUCCAUCCUUUACUGUUAGCUUUGUUGGCUGAGUUGCUCCACUGAUUAUUAUUACCUUGAAAAUGGACAAUUUUAUCCAUUCCUAUAUCCACUCAGCUUUAUCAAUGAGAGACAAAUGGGAACAGAUUACCUGCACUGUUAUUGGCACAUACUUUUAAUACCAAGCACACUGAGACCAACUACAAAGAGGCUGCGAGAAAAGUGACAUGAUUUGUUACUGUACAAUUUACACUAAACCUGAUGAUGGCAGCUCUUCUGUGGUAACCAGACUAUGGACCAUGAUGUUGUAGGACUGCUGUUAUCAGCCAGUGUGUGCUCACUGAUAUCCAGGAGGUUGGUCAUGUGCAAAACAAAAACUACCUGCACUGUGAUGUUUUAAUCUGUAGCAUCUAGAUAGGUUAAAAGAUGGAAUUUCUAACAAAGGACCUGAGGCAGAAGGAUUCUAAGCUUAUAGCCAUGCUGGACUCUUUAGGAGAAAGUUGUCCUAUAAAGAAAGAAAAAAAGAGAGAAGAGGAAAUUUCUAUAAAUUUAUAACUUUAAACCCCAUCAGUUGUAUUAUAAUAUUUUGGGAAAAUCACUUAUUCUAACCCUUUCAAAUAUCUAUAUCAUCUUUUGUAAAGCAUAGCUACCAAUAGCAUUAAACCAAAAUUAUUGUUCCCUUCUAGUUAUCAUUAGUUGGAUAUUUAUUAUAUAGUGAUAAGGAAAACAUAUUAAUAGGAGUAGGGCAAUAGCCACAUUAUUACUCACAAGUACCAAGAAAUGGAAACAACAUAAAUGUUCUUUAACUUGGAGAUGCAUAAAGCAAACAUAUGUAUAUGCAUGUAUAUAAGUGUGUGCAUGUAUAUUUAUUAUAUAGUAUAUAUACAUAUAUAUAAUACUAUUCAGUCAUAGCAAUAAUGGAAUUCUGUCAUUUAUGACAAUAUGGACUGAAGUCGAAGACAUGCUUGGUUUUAAAAAAAGGCAUAGGAAACCAACUACACCCUUUAUCUCAUUCAUAUGGAAAACUUAAAACUGAUCUCCUAGAAGUUGAGAACAGAGUGGCAGAGUUGAUACUAGAGGUUGGGAAGGUUAGAUACGGGUAAGGAAAGGUUUAUGUUACAUUAUAAACGUGACCUGAAGCUCUGAUAUGUCACUGCUCAAUAGGAUCAUGACAAAUCAUCAUACUGUAUAUUCAAAAGAGCUUGAAGAAAAGGUAAAAAAUAUUUCUACCAGAAAUACAUGUGACUAUAAAGACAUUGAUUUACUUACUGGCUUGAAAAUUCAAUACUGUGCACAGGUAUCAAAAUACCACACAGCAACCUAUAAAUAUGUAUAACUUUAUGUCCCAAUUGAAAAA